UGCUGUUGCUGUUGCUGUUGUCCAGGAGGAAGAACCAGAGGCUGUGGCAUCACCGGUCCAGACGAAACAACGUGGCAAACGUGGUGCAGCCCAGGCUGCUGAUUUUGUCACCGUAAUCUCUGGCCAGAAUCCGACGGAUCCUUCGCCUAAGGGUUCUCCCGUAGUGAAAGCGAAUAAUUUGAAAUUGGUGGAAGAGAAGCAAGCUCAAGCUGAAUCCGACGAAGAAGAAGUUACUGUACCUGUUGCUGCUACCAAG